GACCGCGUAGCUCAGUUGGCAAAGCAUUUGGCUAGUAUUUCCAAAGGUCGUAGGUUCGAUUCCCACCGUGGCCA
rnacentral:tRNA from 1 species